CACUUGAACUCGGAAGGCUGAGAUCACGCCACUGCACUCCAUCCUGGGUGACAGAGUGAGACUUUGUCUCAAAAAAAAAAAAAAAAAAAAAGGAAAAAAAGAAAAUUGCUAAGAGGAGACAUCAAGUGUAGUGGCAUUCUUACUAACCCCUGAGGACCAAAUAGGAUUCUUGCUGAACGCAAGCUAGGGUGAUCGGGUAUUGCCUGAGGGAUGGUGAGGGACGAGAAAUUUAAUCAGAUAUCCAGGGUGAUUAGACAUCAAGGGUGGAUGAUGGUCUGUAAACUGACAGCAGGAUUUUCCUUAAAAUUGAGCUUUGCAGGCCCAGGAGAUUGUGGACCAAGGUCAAGGCCUAGUGAAAAAGAGCGCAGUGAGGAGCUUGACUCCGUUGUGGUUAAGAGGAAAAAUUAUUAGCAUUUUAACAAUAUUUGGACUGUUUCUAGAUUGGAGGUAUUUUGAAUGAAGCUGCUGUGAAUAUUCAUGAACAAUGUACAAGUUUUUGUAUGGACAUAUGCUUUCUUUUCCUUUGCUUGAAUGCCUAAGUGUGAAAUGGCUGGAUCACAUGGUACAUACAUGCCUAAUUUUUAAAGAAGCAAUCAAACCACUUUUGAAAUAGUAGUAAUAUUUCACAUAACCAACCAUAGUGUAUAAAACUGCAGAAGUUCCACAACAUUAGCAACACUUGGUGUCAUCAGUCUUGAACUUUGAACAUUCUAGUAAGUGUGUAGUGGUACAUUUGUAAAUUUUGCGUCUAAUAAAUUAUAUACUGUAAUUUAAUUUCUAUUUCCCUAAUGACUAAUGAGAUUAAGCAUCUUUUCAUGUGCUUAUUUGUCAUUUUUAUUUAUAUCUGAUUUAGUGAUGUCUCUGUUAACAUUUUGCCAAUCAUUUUAUCAGGUUAUUAUCAUACCUUUAAAGUAUUUUAUGGAAUCUGAAUACAAAAAUCUUUAUUAAACAUGUGACUUAAAAGUUGCUUCCUUAACUUUGUGGCUUGACUUUUCAUUCUCUUAAUGCUUUUCAAAAGGCAGGAGUUUUUAUUCUUAAAGAGUUUAAUAUAUAUGUACACAUAUAUAAGUACAUGUCUUUACACACACACAUAUAAGUAUGUAAUUUUUAAUUUUAUGGAUCAUGAUUUUUGGUGUCAUAAGUAGAAAUACUUAACUCAAAAAUUUCUUUUCUACAUUUUCUUCAAGUUUCAAAUUUUACAUUUAGGUACAGGAUCUCUUUUAAAAUAAUUUUUCUAUACAGUGUUAAACAUAGAUUGAAAUUGCUAGUUCAAUAUUUUAUUUUCAAACGUGUAUCUAAUUAUUCUAGCACAAUUUGUUGAUAAGAUUAUACUUUCUCCAAUUAAACGAGUUGACCAUAUAUGUGUGGCAAUAUUAUGGGAUGCUCCAUUCUGUUCCAUUGAUUGGUUAGUAUAACUUAAGGCCACUAUCAUUUUAUCUUGAUAACUGUGGCUUUAUAAUAAACCAUGGAAUGAAGUCAUUUUAGUUCUCCAACUUCAUUCUUCUUUUUCAAAGCUAUUUUAGCUAUUCUGGCUCUUUUACAUUUCCAUUUGAAUUUCAGAAUCAGUUUGUCAAUUCCUACAAAAUGUCUGCUGAGAUAUUGAUCAGAAUUGAACUACAUCAAUAGAUCUAUUGGGGGGACUUGACAUCUUAGCAAUAAUUAGACUUCUAACUCAUGAAUGUGGUAAAAGUCUCCAUUUAUUCGUUUUUUUACCUCAAUAUUUUGUAAUAUUCACAUAUGUUGUAAUAUUUAUACUUAAAUAUUUUGUUGUUGAUGUUAUUAAAAACCAUAUUAUUCUUUACAUUCUAUUCCUUUUUUAUUGCUAGUAUAUAAAAAUACAACUUGU
rnacentral:lncRNA from 1 species